AAUGAACGUUGGCGGCGUGGAUUAGGCAUGCAAGUCGUGCGGGCCCGCAAGGGUCAGCGGCGAAAGGGAGAGUAAUACGUAGGUUACCUACCCUCUGGACCGGGACAGCCACGGGAAACUGUGGGUAAUACCGGAUAAAGUCUCCGGACCAAAGGUGUGAUUCCGCCGGAGGAGGGGCCUGCGUCCUAUUAGCUAGUUGGAGAGGUAACGGCUCACCAAGGCAAAGAUGGGUACGGGGUGUGAGAGCAUGCCCCCG
rnacentral:rRNA from 1 species